UAAAAGUGAUCGCCGUUUAGUC
rnacentral:siRNA from 1 species